rnacentral:rRNA from 1 species
UACAGAGGUCCCGAGCGUUGUUCGGAUUCACUGGGCGUAAAGGGUGCGUAGGUGGCAGGGUAAGUUUGAUGUGAAAUCUCCGGGCUUAACCCGGAAACUGCAUUGAAUACUAUCCUACUUGAGGGUUGGAGGGGGGACUGGAAUUCUCGGUGUAGCAGUGAAAUGCGUAGAUAUCGAGAGGAACACCAGUGGCGAAGGCGAGUCCCUGGACAACACCUGACACUGAGGCACGAAAGCUAGGGGAGCGAAUGGG